UGCCCAUCAAUGUAUCUACAAUUUACUGCAUAUGUAUUCCUGUUCCGCUUCAGCUCAUGAAGCUUCUAAUUCCACAGCCCAGACUGGACACGCAACUAGGGGUGAUUGGCAAGAGGUGGUCUAUCAAAAACAGUCACAAACUCAAAUUACUCAAGUGCAGCCUCAUGAAAAUCAAAUGAACCCACAGUUGCAAUCAAUUGACAUACAAGGUUCUGUGGCAACAAUGCAGCAGAAUAAUAUGACAAGAUUGGAGCAAAAUCCUGUGUCUUCUUGAUCGGGGUUUUCAACAGCACAUCAGAACAUGAUGAAUUCAUUGCAGCUUAGUUCCAACAUGGAUUCAGGGCAAGGAAAUGCACUGAACUCAUUGCAGCAGGUUCCUGUGGGCAGCAACCAACAAACUCCUGUCAGUGCUCCCCAACAAGCGAAUAUGAAUGCCUUGUCAUCAGAGAGUGGGGUUAAUGUGCUACAGGCAAACAUGAAUUCCAUUCAGUCAAAUUCUGGUAUGCUUCAACAACAGCAUAUAAAACAACAGCAGGAGCAGCAAAUCAAUUAUGUAAAUGAGUUAAAGAUGAGACGAGCUGCAGGCCAGCAUGCUUUUUCCCAUCAGCAAUUGAAAUCUGGAUCUCCAUUUCCUAUUUCAUCAACAACCCAAUUCCUUCAGGCUGCAUCCCCUAAAAUUUCGCAACAUUCUUCACCCCAAAAUGACCAGCAGAAUCUACUGGCUCACACAAAAGCUGGAACCUCUAGUUCCCCAUUUGUCAUCUCAUCUCCUUCAACUCCGAUGGCUCCAUCCUCCAUGCCAGGGGAUUCUGAGAAACCCUCCUCACUCUCAAAUGCUGAGAAGAUUGGGCAUCUACAAGCAACUGGUGUCGGAUCACAGAUCCAGUCCCUUGCCAUUGGCACCCCUGGGAUAUCAGCCUCUCCUUUGCUUGCUGAAUUUAGUACCAGACAGUACUCAUGUUAAUGCUUUGUCAACUAUUUCUGGCAAGUCAAAUGUUACCAAGCAGCCUCUUGAACAGUUGAUUAAAGCGGUGAAAUCGAUAUCUUCAAAUGCAUUGAGUGCCUCAGUCAGUGACAUUGGCUCAGUAGUGAGUAUGAGUGAUAGGAUAGCAGGGUCAGCACCAGGCAAGGGAUCUAGUGGUGAGGAUUUGAUUACCAUGACAAAGUGUUGUCUGCAAGGAAGGAAUGUUUUGACUCGUGAUGGAACAAAUGGGUCUAGGAAAAUGAGGCGCUUCACUAGUGCCGUGCCCUUAAAUGUUGUGCCAUCAGCUGGCAAUGAUAGUUUCAGGCAGUUGGCUAGUUCAGAGACAUCUGACCUGGAGUCAACUGCAACAUAUCGUAUCAAGAGGCCUAGGAUUGAGGCUAAUCAUGCUCUUUUGGAAGAAAUAAGAGAAAUAAGGCAGCGGUUGAUCAACACAGUUGUUGAUAUCAGUGAUGAAGAUGAUGACCCUAGUGCAUCUGCUGCCGAUGGGGGUAAAGGAAUCAUUUUCAAAUGCUUUUUUGAUGCUGUGGCUUUCGGUCCGAACUUGAAAUCGCAGUAUGCUUCAGCACAGAUGUCACCAAUUCAGCCAUUAAGACUGCUUGUUCCCAGCAAUUAUCCCAACUGCUCUCCAAUACUCUUGGACAAGUUUCCAGUUGAAGUCAGUAAGGAGUAUGAAGAUCUAUCUGUGAGGGCAAAGUCAAGGUUUAGCAUAUCUCUACGAAGUAUUUCACAACCCAUGUCCCUUGGGGAGAUAGCAAGGACCUGGGAUGUUUGUGCAUAUGCAGUUAUUUCCGAGCAUGCGCAGCAGAGUGGCGGAGGCAGUUUUAGCUCAAAGUAUGGGACAUGGGAGAACUGCUUGAGUGCUGCUUGAUCAUCUCUCUUCAGACCGGAAAAAGCUAGUCCAAGGGUCGUUAUCUAAACUGUGAUGCAUAGUUUUUCUACCGCUUUUUUGCUGCAAAGAUGAAGCAGUUUUAGGAUAGUCUGCAUGUAUAGGAGGAACCUGUGAUGUUUUGUAUAUGGUCAGAUUUUCCGAAGUGAAUAAUCUUGGGAUAGUUCUUGUUGGAUUUUUCCUAGGUAACUUCUGUGUGUUGUAGUUUGGAUACUGUAAAUCAUCUGUGAUCUGUCUGUAUGUUUUCGUUGGGUUAUGCCGCAUUAUGCAGUAUUCUGCUACGUCUUCUUGUAA